CAGCAGCCGCGGUAACACAGAGGGUGCGAGCGUUAAUCGGAUUUACUGGGCGUAAAGCGUGCGUAGGCGGCUUUUUAAGUCGGAUGUGAAAUCCCUGAGCUUAACUUAGGAAUUGCAUUCGAUACUGGGAAGCUAGAGUAUGGGAGAGGAUGGUAGAAUUCCAGUUGUAGCGGUGAAAUGCGUAGAGAUCUGGAGGAAUACCGAUGGCGAAGGCAGCCAUCUGGCCUAAUACUGACGCUGAGGUACGAAAGCAUGGGGAGCAAACAGGAUUAGAUACCCCGGUAGUCCCUGUCUCUUAUAC
rnacentral:rRNA from 1 species